UACGGAGGGAGCUAGCGUUGUUCGGAAUUACUGGGCGUAAAGCGUACGUAGGCGGUGAUUCAAGUCAGAGGUGAAAGCCUGGAGCUCAACUCCAGAACUGCCUUUGAAACUAGAUCGCUAGAAUCACGGAGAGGUGAGUGGAAUUCCGAGUGUAGAGGUGAAAUUCGUAGAUAUUCGGAAGAACACCAGUGGCGAAGGCGGCUCACUGGACGUGUAUUGACGCUGAGGUACGAAAGCGUGGGGAG
rnacentral:rRNA from 1 species